AGCCGCGAGGUGGAGCAAAACUAUAAAAAGACGAUCUCAGUUCGGACUGCAGGCUGCAACUCGCCUGCACGAAGUUGGAAUUGCUAGUAAUCGUGGAUCAGCAUGCCACGGUGAAUACGUUCCCGGGUCUUGUACACACCGCCCGUCACACCAUGGGAGCCGGUAAUACCCGAAGUCAGUAGUCUAACCGCAAGGAGGACGCUGCCGAAGGUAGGAUUGGCGACUGGGGUGAAGUCGUAACAAGGUAGC
rnacentral:rRNA from 1 species